rnacentral:rRNA from 1 species
UACGUAGGGUGCAAGCGUUAAUCGGAAUUACUGGGCGUAAAGCGUGCGCAGGCGGUUUUGUAAGCCAGAUGUGAAAUCCCCGGGCUUAACCUGGGAACUGCGUUUGAAACUACAAGGCUAGAGUGUGGCAGAGGGGGGUGGAAUUCCACGUGUAGCAGUGAAAUGCGUAGAGAUGUGGAGGAACACCGGAUGGCGAAGGCAGCCCCCUGGGUUAACACUGACGCUCAGGCACGAAAGCGUGGGGAGCAAACAGG